CAGGGUUCUCUCAAACUAAUUAUUCACCUCUUCCUCUUCACCUUCUACAACCAAAUUUAGUUCAUCUUCUGCCCUACUUACUCCAAAAGAAACUGAUGGAUUUAAUCUUCAACCAUCUUCCACGAGGUCACUUCCUCUUGCCGGUUGGAAUCCGUCCACGGAGUCUGCAACCCCGUACUCUUCCUCACGCAUAGGGGUCUAGAUGAUGUUGCUGCUACUAUUCCAGGGAAAUGGAAUACGCAACUAAUUUUUCUAUGCUAACAUACUUCUUGGUGCUUGUGUGCGUGAAUUGAGUGUCUUCCAGAUUUGGUCAGAGCAAGAAUCAAUUAUUGGCAUGGUCUCAUUCAGUUACUUUUUGAAUGAUCUACACGCAAAAAUUGUGCCCCUUCAGAUUAAACUAUAUUUCUAACACAUCAUCAGCGGUAUUUUUUUAUUUGAAUAACCAAGCGGGAGAAAUACAAUUUAUUUCUACGCAUUACAGAUAUGUUUCUAACCUAGACUAUGACUGUUUCAGUUAACUGGCGUUUUUAUUUGCGAAUCGUUAACUGGCGUUUCUUUUUAAUAUGUAUGCAUUCUUUAUUAUACCCAGCACAAUAUAUACCCAUUAUGGGCCAAACAAUGUUAAGUAUCCCCAGAUUGGGCAGCAAAACUGAAGUAUCUUCUAUGCAGGUACGAUCUAUAAAGGGUGUUGCAGUUUAAUUGCAGUAUUAUUACUUUCCUUCACUUGAAGAUCAAAUAGGUAGUGCUUCAACCUCAGCUGUUUAUUCAUAUUUUCUAAAUUAUUUUGCUGUAAUGUAUUAUUCUCUUAGGUCUCGUGGAUCAUGCAGAGAUUCAAUAAUAUUGUAUUUAUGAUCCCUGGUGAUAGUCCAUUUAUAUUCUUUUAUGUCUCAUUGAUCAUUAAGAGAUUCAAUAAUAUGGUAUUUCUGAUCAUUGGUGAUAGUCCAUUGCUAGAGUGUUCAGCUUCACACUCCAUAAACCGUUUCUUAGUAUACAAUGUUGUAGAAAAGUGCAUCAAAUAAAUACAUGUAAGGAGAAGAGACAAAAAUGGGGAAACAUCAUCAAAUAUUAAUCAACCAGUUGAAGGACCAUAUAUAUCUACUU